AACGAACGCUGGCGGCAGGCUUAACACAUGCAAGUCGAGCGCCCCGCAAGGGGAGCGGCAGACGGGUGAGUAACGCGUGGGAAUCUACCCAUCUCUACGGAACAACUCCGGGAAACUGGAGCUAAUACCGUAUACGUCCUUCGGGAGAAAGAUUUAUCGGAGAUGGAUGAGCCCGCGUUGGAUUAGCUAGUUGGUGGGGUAAUGGCCUACCAAGGCGACGAUCCAUAGCUGGUCUGAGAGGAUGAUCAGCCACACUGGGACUGAGACACGGCCCAGACUCCUACGGGAGGCAGCAGUGGGGAAUAUUGGACAAUGGGCGCAAGCCUGAUCCAGCCAUGCCGCGUGAGUGAUGAAGGCCCUAGGGUUGUAAAGCUCUUUCAACGGUGAAGAUAAUGACGGUAACCGUAGAAGAAGCCCCGGCUAACUUCGUGCCAGCAGCCGCCGUAAAAC
rnacentral:rRNA from 1 species